UACAGAGGGUGCGAGCGUUGUUCGGAAUUAUUGGGCGUAAAGGGCGCGUAGGCGGUGCGGUAAGUCACCUGUGAAAUCUCCUGGCUCAACUGGGAGCUUGCAGGCGAAACUGCCGUGCUGGAGUGUGGGAGGGGUGAGUGGAAUUCCCGGCGUAGCGGUGAAAUGCGUAGAUAUCGGGAGGAACACCUGUGGCGAAAGCGGCUCACUGGACCACAACUGACGCUGAGGCGCGAAAGCUAGGGGAGCAAACAGG
rnacentral:rRNA from 1 species